GAGGACACAGCUGAGGGCUGUGAACUAAAUCUGUUGAAGAAACAGUUCAGCUCAUUCGCUCUGUCUGGGCUGCUCACUGGCACAUUCCAUCACUCUAGAUGUGGUCU